rnacentral:lncRNA from 1 species
UAAAUAAACACAUAAAUGGUGUACAGGGCAAUUAAGGAUAGAAUCCGGAGAUGAAUGAAAAGAAGAUAUUGGGAAAAAAUCCAUAGGCGGAAAUUAUUUGGUGAUUAAUUCAUUGGAAAGUAACAUAUUGGUGCAUAUCCGAGAGACGUGCAAUUGUGCCUAAAAGUGGUUACCUUUUUUACGAUCACAUGGUAGCACGACAUAUUGUUGUGUUUCCAUACAGGUUCAAGAGAUACGAGACCCUUCAGGUGAGGCAAUGAGACUUCUCUGCAGUACUUCUGCUGCAGUGGAGUUGCGACGUGUGGAUCUAGGUCCAAACAUCAAUGACUCAACUGUAGAGAGAUGUACUACAGAGGAUCUACUUUUC